rnacentral:rRNA from 1 species
UACAGAGGGUGCGAGCGUUAAUCGGAAUUACUGGGCGUAAAGCGUGCGUAGGCGGUCGUGUAAGUCGGGUGUGAAAGCCCCGGGCUCAACCUGGGAAUUGCAUUCGAGACUGCACGGCUGGAGUGCGGAAGAGGGAAGCGGAAUUUCCGGUGUAGCGGUGAAAUGCGUAGAUAUCGGAAGGAACAUCAGUGGCGAAAGCGGCUUCCUGGUCCAGCACUGACGCUCAGGCACGAAAGCGUGGGGAGCAAACAGG